CACCGCGGUUAUACGAGAGACCCAAGUUGAUAUUUACCGGCGUAAAGAGUGGUUAUGGGACUUAAUAAACUAAAGCCAAACACCUCCUAGGCUGUCAUACGCACCUGAAGGCACGAAACCCCCUCACGAAAGUAGCUUUACCCUCUCCCCCGAACCCACGACAACUAUGCCA
rnacentral:rRNA from 1 species